GGACAUGAGGGCGAUGUGGCUGCGACAUCUGUCACCCCAUUGAUCGCCAGGGUUGAUUCGGCUGAUCUGGCUGGCUAGGGGCGUGUCCCCUUCCUCCCUCAACGUUCCAUGUGCGUCCCUCCCGAAGCUGCGCGCUCUGUCCAAGAGGACGACCACCCCCGAUAGAGGAGGACUGUUCCUCGGCCAAGGGUAUAGGAGUAGCUUCGUUCCCCUGCUAGAACCUGCAAAGAAGCUCACAAAUUGUCUAGCCUUAGAUUGGUAAGUAGGUAUCAUAAAAGUAUCACCUAAAGCUGAGAAAAGCAAAUAAGGUAAUUAUAUUGAAUAUAAUUAAGAUGAUACUGUUUAUCUUU
rnacentral:snRNA from 1 species